rnacentral:rRNA from 1 species
AUUGAACGCUGGCGGCAUGCCUAACACAUGCAAGUCGAACGGUAACGCGGGGACAACCCUGGCGACGAGUGGCGGACGGGUGAGUAAUACGUAGGAAUCUGCCCAUUUGUGGGGGAUAACCCGGCGAAAGCCGGGCUAAUACCGCAUACGCUCUACGGAGGAAAGCGGGGGAUCGCAAGACCUCGCGCUAAUGGAUGAGCCUACGUCGGAUUAGCUAGUUGGUAGGGUAACGGCCUACCAAGGCGACGAUCCGUAGCUGGUCUGAGAGGACGAUCAGCCACACUGGGACUGAGACACGGCCCAGACUCCUACGGGAGGCAGCAGUGGGGAAUAUUGGACAAUGGGGGCAACCCUGAUCCAGCAAUGCCGCGUGUGUGAAGAAGGCCUGCGGGUUGUAAAGCACUUUCAGUGGGGAAGAAAAAAUCGGAGCCAACACCUCCGAGCUUGACGUUACCCAUAGAAGAAGCACCGGCUAACUCCGUGC